rnacentral:rRNA from 1 species
UACGUAGGGGGCUAGCGUUGUCCGGAAUCAUUGGGCGUAAAGCGCGCGUAGGCGGCCCGGUAAGUCCGCUGUGAAAGUCAAAGGCUCAACCUUUGAAUGUCAGCGGAUACUGCCGGGCUAGAGUCCGGAAGAGGCGAGUGGAAUUCCGUGGUGUAGCGGUGAAAUGCGCAGAUAUCAGGAGGAACACCAAUGGCGAAGGCAGCACUCUGGGACGUGACUGACGCUGAGGUGCGAAAGCGUGGGGAGCAAACAGG